UACGUAGGGUGCAAGCGUUGUCCGGAAUUAUUGGGCGUAAAGAGCUCGUAGGCGGUUUGUCGCGUCUGCUGUGAAAACUCAGGGCUUAACUCUGAGCUUGCAGUGGGUACGGGCAGACUAGAGUGCGGUAGGGGAGACUGGAAUUCCUGGUGUAGCGGUGAAAUGCGCAGAUAUCAGGAGGAACACCGGUGGCGAAGGCGGGUCUCUGGGCCGUAACUGACGCUGAGGAGCGAAAGCUAGGGGAGCAAACAGG
rnacentral:rRNA from 1 species